GACGAACGCUGGCGGCGUGCUUAACACAUGCAAGUCGAACGGAAAGGCCCUGCUUUUGUGGGUUGCUCGAGUGGCGAACGGGUGAGUAACACGUGAGUAACCUGCCCUUGACUUUGGGAUAACUUCAGGAAACUGGGGCUAAUACCGGAUAGGAGCUCCUGCUGCAUGGUGGGGGUUGGAAAGUUUCGGCGGUUGGGGAUGGACUCGCGGCUUAUCAGCUUGUUGGUGGGGUAGUGGCUUACCAAGGCUUUGACGGGUAGCCGGCCUGAGAGGGUGACCGGCCACAUUGGGACUGAGAUACGGCCCAGAAUCCUACGGGAGGCAGCAGUGGGGAAUAUUGCACAAUGGGCGGAAGCCUGAUGCAGCAACGCCGCGUGCGGGAUGACGGCCUUCGGGUUGUAAACCGCUUUCGCCUGUGACGAAGCGUGAGUGACGGUAAUGGGUAAAGAAGCACCGGCUAACUACGUG
rnacentral:rRNA from 1 species